rnacentral:rRNA from 1 species
CCUACGGGAGGCAGCAGUGGGGAAUAUUGCACAAUGGGCGCAAGCCUGAUGCAGCCAUGUCGCGUGUGUGAAGAAGGCCUUCGGGUUGUAAAGCACUUUCAGCGGGGAGGAAGGCGGUGAGGUUAAUAACCUCAUCGAUUGACGUUACCCGCAGAAGAAGCACCGGCUAACUCCGUGCCAGCAGCCGCGGUAAUACGGAGGGUGCAAGCGUUAAUCGGAAUUACUGGGCGUAAAGCGCACGCAGGCGGUCUGUCAAGUCGGAUGUGAAAUCCCCGGGCUCAACCUGGGAAUUGCAUUCGAAACUGGCAGGCUAGAGUCUUGUAGAGGGGGGUAGAAUUCCAGGUGUAGCGGUGAAAUGCGUAGAGAUCUGGAGGAAUACCGGUGGCGAAGGCGGCCCCCUGGACAAAGACUGACGCUCAGGUGCGAAAGCGUGGGGAGCAAACAGGAUUAGAACCCCGGUAGUC